rnacentral:rRNA from 1 species
UACGGAGGGUGCAAGCGUUAUCCGGAUUCACUGGGUUUAAAGGGUGCGUAGGUGGCUUUGUAAGUCAGUGGUGAAAUCCCGCAGCUCAACUGUGGAAUUGCCAUUGAUACUGCUUAGCUUGAAUCAGGUCGAGGUGGAUGGAAUAUUACAUGUAGCGGUGAAAUGCUUAGAUAUGUAAUAGAACACCGAUUGCGAAGGCAGUUCACUAGGCCUGAAUUGACACUGAGGCACGAAAGCGUGGGGAU